rnacentral:rRNA from 1 species
CCUACGGGAGGCUGCAGUAGGGAAUCUUCCACAAUGGGCGAAAGCCUGAUGGAGCAACGCCGCGUGGGUGAAGAAGGUCUUCGGAUCGUAAAACCCUGUUGUUAGAGAAGAAAGUGCGUGAGAGUAACUGUUCACGUUUCGACGGUAUCUAACCAGAAAGCCACGGCUAACUACGUGCCAGCAGCCGCGGUAAUACGUAGGUGGCAAGCGUUAUCCGGAUUUAUUGGGCGUAAAGGGAACGCAGGCGGUCUUUUAAGUCUGAUGGGAAAGCCUUCGGCUUAACCGGAGUAGUGCAUUGGAAAAUGGGAGACUUGAGUGCAGAAGAGGAGAGUGGAACUCCAUGGGUAGCGGUGAAAUGCGUAGAUAGAUGGAAGAACACCAGUGGCGAAAGCGGCUCUCUGGUCUGUAACUGACGCUGAGGUUCGAAAGCGUGGGUAGCAAACAGGAUUAGAUACCCUAGUAGUC